rnacentral:piRNA from 1 species
CCAUCUAAUUGAUAACCUAAGAGAGAAAGA